AUGCCACUCGGCGUCCUUCCCGGCGCCCCAGCAGCCGGGGCUGCUUCCGCUGCCCUAUGGUCCGCCUGCCCCUCCCGCCGAAUGGCGCCGCGGGGGCCGGCACGGUGGGGGCCGCCGCGGCGGUCAGCAGCAGCAGCCGCAGGGCGCCGGCCAACCCCGUCAGCAGCAGCAGCCGCAGCAGUUCCAGGUGCCCCCUCCGUGGUCCUCCGGCUACAACCCGUGGACCGGUGUUGUUCAUGCCUACACCAUGCCGGUUCCACGGGCUCCUACGCCGACCCUUCCCGUGCCGCGCCCGCCGGCGCAUCAGGCGUACUACGCGGCUCCGCAGCCGUACGGAGGAUACCCACUGCCGCAGCUGAGCGGCACCUACGGUCUCCCUGCGGCCCCGCCGCUGCCCUCGCCGGCCCUGCCGCCGGUGCCUUGGGAUCCGGUGCUCCUCGCCGCGCUGCACACCGCACCUAUGCCGAACAACUACACUGGCGUGGUGAUUGGUACAUGGACACCGGGGCUACGGCUCACAUGUUUGCUCAUCCUGGUAAUCUUGCCUCCUUCACUCCCGUCACCACCGACCACCGCAUCAUUGUCGGCGACGGUUCCACACUCCCUAUUACACAUGUCGGGCACACUUCUUUUCCUUCUAAUUCCAUGCCUAUUACUUUCUCUAACAUACUUGUGUCGCCUAAUCUUAUUAAGAACCUUGUUUCCGUUCGUUGUACAACUCGUGAAAAUCCUGUUACUGUUGAAUUUGACGAGCUUGGUUUUGUGUCAAGGACGCUCGAACCAGGAUGGUACUUCACCAAUGUGACAGCCUCGACGAGCUCUAUCCGGUGCAUCGGUCGUCCACCUCCACCGUUGCACCGGUUGCUCUCUCCGCCGGCGUCGAUCUCUAGCACGCUCGUCUGGGUCAUCCCAACCCCGUCACACUUCAUCAUAUUCUUAGGAGUUUCAGUUUUAGUUGUAAUAAGAUAG
rnacentral:rRNA from 1 species